CCAGGAUGCAGCCCUUCCCAGCCCUCAUUUAAGGGUUGGCCAUGGAGGUGAGGGCUUCUUGCUGGAGAUUCCUGCCUAUGUGAGGCCUUCUGAAAGUUCUGUUCUCAUCAAGGGAUGUCUGACAAGGCGAAGAUGUGAAUAGGAUGCAGCUGAAAGCUUUUGAACCCUUGGGAUUUAGAAACUGUGCAAAGCUGUUUGUCUUCCAGUCAGAGGCAGAUGGGAAUGGCUGCUGGCGUACCAAAGUGUUGCAUGGAAGGAGGCAGUCUGCAGGCAUUAGCUGGGGUGGCAAGAACAUGGUCUGCCAAGGAACUUACUUCUGGAUAUAUCACAAAGCAGGCAGAUGGCAUUCUUCCAGAAGGUGUGAUGUCAGAUACGCAGCAGCUCUGGCUAUGAUGUCAUGCUGAGCGCUUGCAGCAGCCAGCACAGAAUGUACAUGAGACCUGACAGGCUGCUAGCUGGUGGCUCCCACGCUCUCUUACACUCGCAAGUUCUGAAUUUUCUUUUUGUGCAACCAUAUGAGAAGUCUUGCUAUGAGUUAAAGGAAAAGACAGUCUUCUCAUCUAAUAAAAAUCACAAGAACCUCACGUAAUUAGAAAGGUAGGGGAAGGAGGUUUCUUCAGAGGAGUGGCUGACUUCAUAAAUACAGAUCUGCUUUCCUAUGGAAAGUAAGUGUGUAAAAACUGACCGCUCCUUUGUUCUCUUUGCACUUCCUAGAAAUGCUGUGUCAUUCAGCUCUUCUGUGCACUGUUGGGUAUAAAAUGAUGUCUCUUGGUCUGGUCUCAUUACAGUUGGCUCUGUAGUGUUGCUCUACUCCGUUUGAAUAAGAAGUUCUGAGGCUUUCUUGUUUCAUGACUGACAUACAGAAGUUCGCUUCACAGGGAGAGCUAAUUGCUCUGCAUUUUGCAUGCCUGAAAAGCAAACCAAACCCCCCAGAUUAGCAGCUCUCUCUUCCCUGUUUCUCCUCCCCCCCUCUUUCUGCUCAGUUUCUUUGGUGACCAUUCCCUGAUGUUUGAUGUGCCCUUGGCCUAGCUUGCUUUCAACAUCAGACAAGCCCUGUUUUUCCUGCACUGCUUCCAGUAGCUGAUCUCCCUCUCAAAUUGAGAAGUGCAUUUUCAGAAGUGACCUUUAGCAGCAGUGGUGGCAUUUUCAUCUUCAGGGAAACCUCCUUGGCCCCGUAACCCAAGGUUUGAUCCUAUCAUUCAGUGACACCAUCAGAGGGGAUGGGAAGAGUGUGAAGCUGAGUGAAGUUCAGCAUGUCACGGUGCAUUAAACAGCUCUCUGAGAGUGACAGGAUGAGCUCGAUUUGUUCUGCUAGCAGAUAAAUAACUUUCUCAGUGUAAUUAAUAACCUUAGUGAUUUGUUCCAAAAAAAAAAAAAAAAAAAGGAAUAAUAAUAAGAUCGAGUAAUCAAACUAUUGAUUAAUGAGUAGGUCCCCUUGAAAAGGUAUACAGAAGGUUUAGCACAAAAUGUUAGUCCUUCUGGGCUUGGUUCCAGUAGAGACUGUAGUGAUGAUUGAACAAUAGGAUUAUUAUACAAAGUCAUUGUUUUGAGAGUGGGGAAAAAAAAAUUGGUUCCUUUUUUCUUUAGCAAUUCAUUCAUCAAAUAAAAAUACAUUUUUUUAACAGCGGCAUUGCAUCCAACGUUAUUUUUGCAGCUGGGCUCAGCACUUGCACAGAACUCCCAUUGGCAACAGUAGUGUUUCUGUAACGCAAAUUAAGAGAAUUUCUUCCUUAAAUGUAAAAUCUUGGGGUCUGUACUUGCUUUCUAUGCAAAUAAAAGCGCUGAUGACUUCAGGAAAAGUACCUACAGUCCCCACCUCCCUCAUGCUUGAAUACUUUUGCAAAAUGGAAAUCUGGGACCAGGAGGUGAGGAAGGAAGAGAUUAAUUUCCUUGGAGUUUAAAAUAAUUCUAAUAAAAAUUCUAUAAAAUGUAACUCAUUGGCCUAAUAGCUUCUAUAACAAAUAAUGCUUUGGGGAACAAUAAAUUGUGUAAUGAUAGUUCUGCUCAGAUUGACUAAAUCAUUAUGUGUUG